AGGCCCGAGGAGAAGGAGAGAUGUCCAAAUCCCUGUGGUUCAAGGGCGGCCCGGGGGGUGGUCUCAUCAUCAUCGACAGCAUGCCGGACAUCCGCAAGAGGAAGCCCAUCCCACUCGUGAGCGACCUGGCCAUGUCCCUGGUCCAGUCCAGGAAGGCGGGCAUCACCUCGGCCUUGGCCUCCAGCACGUUGAACAACGAGGAGCUGGUGCGUGGGCGCCUUUCAUCCCAGUGGGGGUGCCAG